UUCAUGAUUACUUCACUUAAUCUAUAGUCUUGAUGAUAGAGAAGCGUUACCCUAAGACAAAAAAACUGCACAUGAUUCAGGAGAAUAACUUUAUUUUAUGAACAUUUCAAAGACGUUUGUCUUCACUGUCCGUGUUAACACAAGGAUUGCACAUCGUUCAGAAGGGUAUGUGCUACAAACGGACUAAAAAUACUAAAAUAAAGGAAACUACAUGAAUAUAUAAUUGAAACCGAGUAUAAACAUCAAGUAAUAAAAUUGGUAAUAACAGACAAAGGAUUACACAGUUAUAGGUUGUACUGCAAUUACCCAGCUUUAGGAAUCAUGGAUUUCCAGGACAAGUCUGUUGGGUGUGUGUGUGUGUGUGUGUGUGUGUGUGUGUGUGUGUGUGUGUGUGUGUGUGUGUGUGUGUGUGUGUGUGUGUGUG